CUUAGAAGGUGGCGAUUUUCCUGGGCCCGUGGCUCCUACGCACAGAUGGAGGCCCAGCCGGCUGGGGCCUCGGGCUCCGGCGUCCGGAAAUGGCAGCUAGCGGCAGGAUGGAGGACGCAACACGGCGCUUCUGCUCAUCCUGUGUGUGCAGCACUCCUUUCCCGAGCCCAGCAGACUGUACCUGGACCUCAUUUUUGCUGUCCUGGCCCUGGAACUGAUCUGUUCCCUCGUGUGUCUGCUCAUUUACACAGUGAAAGUCUAAAAAUUUAAUAAAGCCAAACCACAACCUGAUGUACUUGAAGAAGAAAAAAUCUAUGCUUACCCUAGCAAUAUUACCUCCGAGACUGGAUUCAGCACUAUUUCAAGCCUGGAAGAAAUUGUUAAAAAGCAAGGAGACAUAAUAGCGUAUCUGAAACGACACAACGCCCUGUUGAGUAAGCGAUUGUUGGCUCUCUCUUCCUCAGACCUGGGCUGUCAGGCAAGUAAGACGUGACAAGCUCACGGCCACUACGGCAACUGCAGAGGAAUCCAGAGUAACUUAGGAUCUACUGAUGAGGCGCCACAAUGGCUUUUACCAAGAAACAUUUACAAUUUUGGUUGGAAACCCCAAUUUGGUUCUCCCCUCUGUGGCUGUGAAAUACAUGGGGCUCCUGGGUCAUUUGAAAGUUGCUUUGUAGAGGCCUCGGUAACUGAAGAAUGUCUGCUCUGUACCUUUGGGAGUCAUUAACUGCACUGUGUGUCCGAGGAUCACAGGUAGAGUUUCAGCCUCUCUGUGGUCUGCACCUUUUCCACAUGACAUUUAAAACCCUGAAAUAAUUUGGCUUUUUAUAGAAUUAAGACAAGACAAUCUACUUCAAUCAAGUAAGUUCUUCCCACUUCUGAACUGACAAGAGAAGAGCUUGCUUCCACGGCAUUUUCCUGCAUGGUCUUAUCCAGUAUUGGAUGCACUCACGCAGUGUCAGGUGACGGCGUGGGCCUUGUGGCUUUCAGAGAAUUUUCUCAGUGUAGAACCAAGGUCUCACUAGGUGAUUUACCAUGCAGACUCCUACAGCUUUCUCUUCCUCAGAAAUAAGAUAUGCAAAUUCCUUGGACCAGUGUUAGACAAGCCUGCGUUGCCUCAUCUUGGCAGCACCAUCUGUUAGCAACAGCUGAAAAAUUUAGAGAAUUUAGACUGCCGCUUUAUUUUUGCCCUUCUUCAAGAAGUGGACAUAUGAUUCAGUAUUGAUAAUACCUUCAUUGAAUCAGUAGGUUCUCUUAUACAAAAGGAAUCUUUUGUGAUUUUAAAUUAGUCUAAAAAGAAGAAUAGAAUCCUCUUUAGUCUUGGACUAUACUUAAAAAUUGUGAUGGGAAUAAGUAUCAGUUUAUAUACGGGUAUUAAACUUACCUAAUUUUUAAGAUAAAGUAUUUUUAUGAGCCUGGCAUUAUCUAUUCUUUCUCCUACGAGGCCCCUGUCCGUUGUCAUACUUGUCAUCAGCACUGGUAUGUGCCGCCUUAGGAAGACUUCAGACGAAGGCUUACUGUGAGGGGAGGGGUAUUUGUGAUUGUGUGGGCUGGUGGUCUUUUUUGGUCAUUAGCUAGAUAUUCAACAUUUGAUUUGAAAAGCUAUGUACAAAUUCUACUGAAGGCUUUCAAGCAAGGAAGUGACAACUUCAGUUUUAGUUUUGGGAGGAUGAUAUUUUAGUUCAAUACAGGGGAAAUUUGGGCGGCAGAAAGAUGUGGCCCUGAACUAGAGCAGAUAUAGUGACAUUUUAUUAUAAGUGUAUAUGCAUAUAUAGACAGAGAUGUAUAUGUGUGUCUUACAAAUGACAAUAGCAUCAUGAUUUACUAUAAUAUUAAAAGUUUAUUUUUUUUGAGACAGAGUCUCACUUUGUCACCCUUGGUAGAGUGCUGUGGUGUCACAACUCACAGCAACCUCCAACUCUUGGGCUUAGACGAUUCUCUUGCUUCAGCCUCCUGAGUAGCUGGGACUACAGGCGCCUGCCACAAUGCCCGGCUAUUUCUUGUUGCAGUUGUCACUGCUAUUUUGGCUGGCCGGGGUCGGGUUCAAACCCACCACCCUCGGUAUGUGGGGCCAGUGCCCUACCCACUGAGCCAUAGGUGUUACCCUAAGUUUAUUAUUUUUUAAGGGCAAUAUUAUAAAAUGCAGAUAAAGCCUAGGAAUGUAUAACUUAUAUAGGCAAGAGAUAUAUUCAUUCAGUCAUCUCCACUUUUAAUUUUGGAGAGCAAAUGCCUGUUUUUAGAUAUAGCUGUUGCUGGGACAUUCUAAAAGUUUUCAACUAAAGAAAAAUUGAAGAGCUUAAGAGCCUAUUUUGUUUAUUUUUUGAGACAGAGUCUCACUAUGUUGCCCUUGGUAGAAUGCCAUGGUGUUACAACUCACAGCAACCUCAAACUCUUGGGCUUAAGUGAUUCUCUUGCCUCAGUCUCCCAGGUAACUGGGACUACAGGUGCCUGCCACAAUGCCUGGCUGGUUUUUUUGUUGUAGUUGUUGUUGUUUUGGCAGGCCCAGGAUGGGUUUGAACCUGCCAG